rnacentral:rRNA from 1 species
CCUGCGGAAGGAUCAUUACUGAAGAUUUGGCCUCCGGGUCGCUCUUCCACCCUUUGUUUACCUUUACCAUGUUGCUUUGGCGGGCCGCCUCAGGCCACCGGCUCUCGGGCUGGUGAGCGCCCGCCAGAGACACCCUUAACCCUAACCAUUUUGACGUUUGUCUGAGAAAAACUUAAUUGUUAAAACUUUCAACAACGGAUCUCUUGGCUCUGGCAUCGAUGAAGAACGCAGCGAAAUGCGAUAAGUAAUGCGAAUUGCAGAUUUCAGUGAGUCAUCGAAUCUUUGAACGCACAUUGCGCCCCUUGGUAUUCCGAGGGGCAUGCCUGUUCGAGCGUCAUUAUCACCCCUCAAGCUUAGCUUGGUGUUGGGGCCUGCCCGAUUCUGGGCAGCCCUUAAAAGCAGUGGCGGUGCCCUCCGGCUCUAAGCGUAGUAACUUACCUCGCUACAGACACCGGGAGGCCCUAGCCAGAACCCCCAAUUUUUUAUGAUUGACCUCGGAUCAGGUAGGGAUACCCGCUGAACUUAAGCAUAUCAAUAAG